rfam:Bacillus bataviensis LMG 21833 contig118, whole genome shotgun sequence.
AUAAAAAAAACCCUGCAGAAAAUUCUGCAGGGUCCUUCUACAUCCUAAAAAAAGGAUAGAAGGCAAAGGGAGAGGAGAAACCGGAGGAAGAACUUAUGGGGAAACGUAAGUCUUCUCCGCGG